GUGCAAGUCGAACGCGUCUUGGUUAAUGAUGUUAGGUGCUUGCAUUUAACUGAUUUAACAUUGAGACGAGUGGCGAACUGGUGAGUAACACGUGGGUAACCUGCCCUGAAGUGGGGGAUAACACUUGGAAACAGGUGCUAAUACCGCAUAACAACGAAAACCACAUGGUUUUCGUUUGAAAGAUGGCUUCGGCUGUCACUUUUGGAUGGACCCGCGGCGUAUUAGCUUGUUGGUGAGGUAACGGCUCACCAAGGCCAUGAUACGUAGCCGACCUGAGAGGGUAAUCGGCCACAUUGGGACUGAGACACGGCCCAAACUCCUACGGGAGGCAGCAGUAGGGAAUCUUCCACAAUGGACGAAAGUCUGAUGGAGCAACGCCGCGUGAGUGAUGAAGGGUUUCGACUCGUAAAACUCUGUUGUUGGAGAAGAACAGGUGAUAGAGUAACUGUUAUCAUCUUGACGGUAUCCAACCAGAAAGCCACGGCUAACUACGUGCCAGCAGCCGCGGUAAUACGUAGGUGGCAAGCGUUGUCCGGAUUUAUUGGGCGUAAAGCGAGCGCAGGCGGUUUUUUAGGUCUGAUGUGAAAGCCUUCGGCUUAACCGGAGAAGGGCAUCGGAAACCGGGAGACUUGAGUGCAGAAGAGGACAGUGGAACUCCAUGUGUAGCGGUGAAAUGCGUAGAUAUAUGGAAGAACACCAGUGGCUAAGGCGGCUGUCUGGUCUGU
rnacentral:rRNA from 1 species